GAACAUGGGGACAUCUGAUUAAAUUAAAACAAUAUAGAGAAGAUUAGCAAUAUGGCCCUUGCGCAAGGAUGAAACACCCAAAUCGAAAAGGAUCUGCUAGUUCU